rnacentral:rRNA from 1 species
GAUGAACGCUAGCGGCAGGCUUAAUACAUGCAAGUCGUGGGGCAGCGCAGUGUAGCAAUACAUGGGCGGCGACCGGCAAACGGGUGCGUAACACGUACGCAACCUUCCCGUUACUGGGGAAUAGCGCAGGGAAACUUGGAUUAAUACCCCAUAUUAUAUUGAUUGGGCAUCUAAUUAAUAUCAAAGCUUCGGCGGUAACGGAUGGGCGUGCGGUUGAUUAGGUAGUUGGAGGGGUAACGGACCACCAAGCCUACGAUCAAUAGCUGAUGUGAGAGCAUGACCAGCCACACGGGCACUGAGACACGGGCCCGACUCCUACGGGAGGCAGCAGUAAGGAAUAUUGGGCAAUGGACGAAAGUCUGACCCAGCCAUGCCGCGUGGAGGAUGAAGGUCCUCUGGAUUGUAAACUUCUUUUUUCUGGGGCGAAAACCGGUUAUUCUUAGCCGCUUGACAGUACCAGAGGAAUAAGCACCGGCUAACUCCGUGCCAGCCGCCGCAGUAAGAC